GUUAAGCGACUAAGCGUACACGGUGGAUGCCCUGGCAGUCAGAGGCGAUGAAGGACGUGCUAAUCUGCGAUAAGCGUCGGUAAGGUGAUAUGAACCGUUAUAACCGGCGAUUUCCGAAUGGGGAAACCCAGUGUGUUUCGACACACUAUCAUUAACUGAAUCCAUAGGUUAAUGAGGCGAACCGGGGGAACUGAAACAUCUAAGUACCCCGAGGAAAAGAAAUCAACCGAGAUUCCCCCAGUAGCGGCGAGCGAACGGGGAGCAGCCCAGAGCCUGAAUCAGUGUGUGUGUUAGUGGAAGCGUCUGGAAAGGCGCGCGAUACAGGGUGACAGCCCCGUACACAAAAAUGCACAUGCUGUGAGCUCGAUGAGUAGGGCGGGACACGUGGUAUCCUGUCUGAAUAUGGGGGGACCAUCCUCCAAGGCUAAAUACUCCUGACUGACCGAUAGUGAACCAGUACCGUGAGGGAAAGGCGAAAAGAACCCCGGCGAGGGGAGUGAAAAAGAACCUGAAACCGUGUACGUACAAGCAGUGGGAGCACGCUUAGGCGUGUGACUGCGUACCUUUUGUAUAAUGGGUCAGCGACUUAUAUUCUGUAGCAAGGUUAACCGAAUAGGGGAGCCGAAGGGAAACCGAGUCUUAACUGGGCGUUAAGUUGCAGGGUAUAGACCCG
rnacentral:rRNA from 1 species